GAGCAUGGCUGGCCAGAAACUCCUGGCAACACACCCAGACAUCCUACUUUCUCAUCGGAAUGGAUGAUCCAGGGAUUUACCUGUAUCUAAAUGCUCCAUGAUUAUGCCCUUGGCAAAGAGGAAACGCUUGGCAGGAGCUUUUCUCACUUCUAGGUGUGCACUGCACUUUUCCAUCCAAUAUAGAGCUGGGUUUUUCUUGCUUGCAACCAGGGCUCUGUGAUGCGUUCCGACUGUCUCGACCAUCGAUACAAGCUGGUUGGAGAUGUCCCUAUUUUCUGGUAUGAAAUGUCUCCCAAGAGUUCAUGUGCUGACAGAAAACGCAAGCUCCCAGUAAAGCUGUUGAAUUGAGAGCGUGAAUCAUUCCAUGACUGUGGAAGGAAGGGCAGCAAACGAUGUCUGUGAAGAAUACACGGAUUUUGUUUUGGAUUCAAGGAAAUCACUGAAAUGAUCAAGAAACAAUUGCCCCACAUUAAAAGCCAUGUUUUGGGUUGUUCUUUUUUUUUUUUUUGACAAAAGCACAGUUGCUUUGAUAAAGAACAAUACACCCCUCAGUGCUGUAACAUACACUUCAGACUAAUGUUCUUAAUGUUGCCCCACUUUUGAAACAUCGUAUUGUGAAAUUAAUAUCCUUUGCAAAAUGUCUUUUGAGAGCACUGUUAUGGUUAUAUGAAGA
rnacentral:sRNA from 1 species